rnacentral:rRNA from 1 species
CCCUUGUCCUUAGUUACCAGCACGUUAUGGUGGGCACUCUAAGGAGACUGCCGGUGACAAACCGGAGGAAGGUGGGGAUGACGUCAAGUCAUCAUGGCCCUUACGGCCUGGGCUACACACGUGCUACAAUGGUCGGUACAAAGGGUUGCCAAGCCGCGAGGUGGAGCUAAUCCCAUAAAACCGAUCGUAGUCCGGAUCGCAGUCUGCAACUCGACUGCGUGAAGUCGGAAUCGCUAGUAAUCGCGAAUCAGAAUGUCGCGGUGAAUACGUUCCCGGGCCUU